ACCUUACGACUUUGCAUGUGUGUUUUGGGACUACGCUCAAAGAGAUUGGAGAACAGAGGGCUGCAUCAAGAUACAAGAUCCCUAUGGUUUUCAGUGUAAAUGCAACCACACCACCAACUUUGCAGUUCUGAUGAGCUUUAGAGCAGACUAUAAUUAUUCUGAGGCUUUAAACUGGAUCAGUAUUGUGGGAUGCAGUCUGUCUAUUGUUGGUUUGCUCCUCACCACAGUUUAUCAAAUUAAGACCAGGAAACUGAGAGGAGCCAACUCCACUAUGCUCUUAGUGAACAUCUGUUUGUGCAUGACAACCUACUACCUGCUGUUUAUUUUUGGAAUCAACAACCCGGUCCAGAGCUCAAAGGCCUCUGUUUCAGAGAAGAAUGUUAUUCCUUCUUCAGAUUUGGAACAGAAGGUCGAUCAGGGCCCUUGUACGGCAAUCACAGCCCUGCUGCAGUACUUCCUGCUGGCCACGUUUGCCUGGAACAUCAUGUAUGCGGCUCACGUGUUUUUCCUCAUUAGAAAUGCCCUCAGUGGUCCACCGCGAGGUUUCCGCACCAUCGCCAUGACAGCUGGCUGGGGUCUGCCUGCUGUUAUUGUCGGCAUUUCGCUGGCCACCACCUACAGCUUUAAGGACCCUUUAGGUUAUCGACAAGAAGAGUUGUAAGUAAAAAAUCAUUUCGCUUUAUUUCCUGUCAAUGUGCGAGACUUCAGAUUCAUUAGCCGCUAUAUAUUGAAUAACAUGAAGUAGCUAGGCUUUAGGCUAACAAAGUGCAGUAAAACUAGCUAAAUGGAUAAACUAUUUUUGCUACAAACCAGUGUGUUUAUGAUUAUGAUGAUAAAUUAAAAUAAUAUGAAAAAAUACCAGUUUGCAACAUAAAGCAGAAUAACGAAAUGUUUUUGUAGGCCUACAAGUAAAAUAACCGGAAGCCUCGCACAUUCAGGUUAAAAAAGCCCAUGCCCGGUAUUACAUUAACUCUUUCCCCGCCAUUGAUGGAAUUUUUUUCUUCAUUUAUGAGACAACGCUUCCCUGCCAUUGACUGAAUUUUCCAGCUUUAAAUGUUUUCAUUGUUAUGUGGUAGGGGGGCUACCAACUUCUGAAAGAGUACAGAAUCAAAAAAAAAAAAAAAAAAAAAAAGGAAAGAAAAGAAAGAAUAAAGAGCAGAAAUAUGCUUAUGCACGUUGCAGUCUUUGGAAGGAAAAAACAAAACAAGUUUCUCAGCUUUUUGUUCAGAAUUUUGCUUUUUAAAUGAAACUACCCACAUUCAACUGUUGAUGAAAAUAAGAAUAAGGCUCUGUUCUUUCUUUUGAUAUAUUGCAUGUUCAGAUAUUCAUACAACAUAAUAUUCUUGGGGCCAAUAUUUUUUGUGAAAAUUAUCAAAAAUGCUUGUAGUGUCUGGCAACUUUUUUUCUUUCUUUUUCUUUCUUUCUUAAAAAAAAAAAAAAAAAAAAAAAAAAACGCUGGCGGGGAAAGAGUUAAAUUUCUGGCUGAUGAUUUCAUGUUAUUGUCAAUAACCGAAAAAUGGGCGAUUUUAAAACUAUAUUGUAUUUUGUCAUUGUACUACUAUAAUAGUAAGAAAAAUAAUCAUUUUAAAUACUACAGUAGCCUAUAAGUGAAUUUAGGCAUCACAUUUUAAUGUACAGGAUAAAAAUGAAUAUUAAUUUUGAGAUUUUAAAUAUGAAAUGUUGCAUUUUAUUAUAGUAUUGGGGGCAAACUAAACAUUUUUGAAUGAAGAACAUUACUUACGCAUACUCAAUAAGCAUAUCCCAGUAUUUCUCGUUCUGUCUUUGUUUUGUACUGUUUUAGCUGUUGGUUGGCAUCUCUGGACAAGGCGGGAAGGUUUGAUCCAAAGCGGCCGAUGUUGUGGGGUUUCUUGCUCCCUCUAGCGGUCAUGUUGUGUUUUAACACAUCUCUGCUUGUGUUCUUCUCUCAAACCAUCUGCUGUGCAAAUCCCAACCUGAAGAGCUCAGGUACCACUCCUUUAAAGAAGAAGAUUCUGAGUAGUUUCUCUCUGGCUGUGGUGCUCGGUUUGUCCUGGGUCAUUGGUUACUUUGUGCUCAUCACCCAUGACAAAACACUCUACAUCAUUCUCAGUGUGGUCUUCUGUCUCUGCAAUACAACACAGGGUGUUCAGAUUUUCUUUUUAUUCACACUGAAGUCUUUUCUAAAGACGAGAGCUCGAUAUAAUCUGGAUUCUAAGACUGAAUCAAGGGGAGAGCCUUAAAACAUGGAAAAUGGACACAAAAAGCCAAGGACAAGACAAGAUCGUAGAUGAUUCCAAUGGUCUGCUGACAUUUAUUUUAAUUCAGUUUAAUAAUAUUAAUAAAUACAUUGUCACAUAUACAUAUUGUCUUAUUAGAUACUGUACAAGUAACAUCUAUAGUAAAUUUUAGAUAUAAU